UUAUUUAUCUGUUAGAGGAAAUGCUAUGAUGAAGAAAGUGGUUUCUUUAAGGUGAAUCUCUGCCUUUUUAAUUUCAAUUGAGUUUAUCCCUCAGAUUUCUUUAAAUGUGAGAAACUCAAAUCCAUAGUUUUUGAUAGUGGGAGACUGCACUGAGCUGUUUCCAG